rnacentral:rRNA from 1 species
UUACGGUCAAAUCACGCUGAAACACCGGUUCUCGUUCGAUCACCGAAGUUCAGCAUCGUAGAGCCAGGUCAGUACUUAGAUGGGGGACCGCUUGGGAACACCUGGUA